GGUAACCUGCCCUUGAAUCCGGGAUAACUUCGCGAAAGCGUUGUUAAUACCGGGUAUUGCCCUACUGGUUGUGGCCUUUGGGGUGAAAGGUAACCUCUUCAUGAAAGUUGUCGUUCAAGGAUGGGCCCGCGUACCAUUAGCUUGUUGGUGGGGUAACGGCUCACCAAGGCAACGAUGGUUAACUGGUCUGAGAGGAUGACCAGUCACACUGGAACUGAAACACGGUCCAGACUCCUACGGGAGGCAGCAGUGAGGAAUUUUGCGCAAUGGGGGAAACCCUGACGCAGCAACGCCGUGUGAGUGAAGAAUGCUUUCGGGUCGUAAAGCUCUGUCAAGUGGGAAAAAAAGUCUUUCGAUUAAUAGCCGGAAGAUCUGAUGGUACCACUAAAGGAAGCACCGGCUAACUCCGUGCCAGCAGCCGCGGUAAUACGGAGGGUGCAAGCGUUGUUCGGAAUUACUGGGCGUAAAGGGCGUGCAGGCGGGUUGGUAAGUCAGAUGUGAAAGCCCUGGGCUCAACCCAGGAAGUGCAUUUGAAACUGCCAUCCUUGAGUAUGGGAGAGGAGAGUGGAAUUCCCAAUGUAGAGGUGAAAUUCGUAGAUAUUGGGAGGAACACCCGUGGCGAAGGCGACUCUCUGGACCAAUACUGACGCUGAGACGCGAAAGCGUGGGGAGCAAACAGGAUUAGAUACCCUGGUAGUCCACGCCGUAAACGAUGAGAACUAGGUGUAGCGGGUAUUGACCCCUGCUGUGCCGAAGUUAACGCAUUAAGUUCUCCGCCUGGGGAGUACGGCCGCAAGGCUAAGACUCAAAGGAAUUGACGGGGGCCCGCACAAGCGGUGGAGCAUGUGGUUUAAUUCGACGCAACGCGAAGAACCUUACCUGGGUUUGACAUCCUUUGACCGUCCCGGAAACGGGAUCUUUCCGGCUCUGCCGGAACAGAGUGACAGGUGCUGCAUGGCUGUCGUCAGCUCGUGUCGUGAGAUGUUGGGUUAAGUCCCGCAACGAGCGUAACCCUUGUCUUUAGUUGCCAGUAUUAGGUUAGGCACUCUAAAGAGACUGCCUCGGUUAACGGGGAGGAAGGUGGGGAUGACGUCAAGUCCUCAUGGCCUUUAUACCCAGGGCUACACACGUGCUACAAUGGGCUGUACAAAGGGUUGCCAAUUCGCGAGGAGGCGCUAAUCCCAAAAAGCAGCUCUCAGUUCGGAUUGGAGUCUGCAACUCGACUUCAUGAAGGUGGAAUCGCUAGUAAUCGUGGAUCAGCACGCCACGGUGAAUACGUUCCUGGGCCUUGUACACACCGCCCGUCACACCACGAAAGUCGACUGUACCAGAAGUUGCUGGGCCAACCCCUGAGCUUGUCGAAGGGGAGGCAGGUACCUAAGGUACGGCCGGUAAUUGGGGUGAAG
rnacentral:rRNA from 1 species